UACGUAGGGUGCGAGCGUUAAUCGGAAUUACUGGGCGUAAAGCGUGCGCAGGCGGUCUGUUAAGACCGAUGUGAAAUCCCCGGGCUCAACCUGGGAACUGCAUUUGUGACUGCAUCGCUGGAGUGCGGCAGAGGGGGGAUGGAAUUCCGCGUGUAGCAGUGAAAUGCGUAGAUAUGCGGAGGAACACCGAUGGCGAAGGCAAUCCCCUGGGCCUGCACUGACGCUCAUGCACGAAAGCGUGGGGAGCAAACAGG
rnacentral:rRNA from 1 species